rnacentral:lncRNA from 1 species
AGAUCCUGCCAACCUCUUUGUUAUUUGAGCAGCUGGAUGAGAUUCUUGAUUUCCAUAAUCUGUACCUGGAGGUUUAUACAGGGGAGGAUCACUGGGGCAGACUUGAACCAUGGUGCCCACAAGUGGGGAGGGUGCUCCAGCAGCCAUGGAAAGAACUUCCUUCUGCAGUUGGAGACAGCCUUCUGUGUGGCGGGUUAUCAUGCUGACUCGACUAACACAAACCCCCAUCUGGAUGCAGUCCAAACACCAGAUGUGCCCCCGAUUAGUGUCGGUCUGGGGAAUGUUUCCAUGACUGAAAGGCUGAAGGACAGAGUGUGAUUUUCCACUUGGAAGAGACUCUAGGGCUCUCCAGAGAGGGAAGCCCUGCUGACCCAUUUCAGUAGACUGUGACACUUCAGCGACCUGCAAAUUCUACACAUUAGAGUUCAUAUUUUAUACAAACUCCGUACACCUAAGAUGUGGACUUAACAUUUCUACCAACAACAUCCAACUUCCAACAAAAGAUGCAGGCCCAUCAGAAGAUGAAAGCUACUAAUGAAGAUGCAUUAAAGAUGAUAUUUAUGGCCACCCCUUAGGGAAAAAAAAAGAUUCAUAAAUAAUUUCAUGGAAAUUACACCCAAAAUAGAGUCAUAAUUUCCUCAA